GUCAGUUGUAGCUCAGUGGAUAAGACAUCGGACUUGUGAUUGGAAGGUUGUGAGUUCAAAUUCCAGCACUGCCA